CUGGGAACUGCGUUNUGAACUGGGUGACUAGAGUGUGUCAGAGGGAGGUAGAGUUCCACGUGUAGCAGUGAAAUGCGUAGAGAUGUGGAGGAAUACCGAUGGCGAAGGCAGCCUCNUGGGAUAACACUGACGUUCAUGCCCGAAAGCGUGGGUAGCAAACAGGAUUAGAUACCCUGGUAGUNCGCGCCCUAAACGAUGUCGAUUAGCUGUUGGGCAGCAUGACUGCUUAGUAGCGAAGCUAACGCGUGAAAUCGACCGCCUGGGGAGUACGGUCGCAAGAUUAAAACUCAAAGGAAUAGACGGGGACCCGCACAAGCGGUGGAUGAUGUGGAUUAAUUCGAUGCAACGCGAAGAACCUUACCUGGUCUUGACAUGUACGGAACCCUCCAGAGACGGAGGGGUGCCUUCGGGAGCCGUAACACAGGUGCUGCAUGGCUGUCGUCAGCUCGUGUCGUGAGAUGUUGGGUUAAGUCCCGCAACGAGCGCAACCCUUGUCAUUAGUUGCCAUCAUUAAGUUGGGCACUCUAAUGAGACUGCCGGUGACAAGCCGGAGGAAGGUGGGGAUGACGUCAAGUCCUCAUGGCCCUUAUGACCAGGGCUUCACACGUCAUACAAUGGUCGGUACAGAGGGUAGCCAAGCCGCGAGGUGGAGCCAAUCUCACAAAACCGAUCGUAGUCCGGAUUGCACUCUGCAACUCGAGUGCAUGAAGUCGGAAUCGCUAGUAAUCGCAGGUCAGCAUACUGCGGUGAAUACGUUCCCGGGUCUUGUACACACCGCCCGUCACACCAUGGGAGUGGGGGAUACCAGAAGUAGGUAGGGUA
rnacentral:rRNA from 1 species